rnacentral:rRNA from 1 species
GAUGAACGCUGGCGGCGUGCCUAACACAUGCAAGUCGAGCGUGAACCCUUGGAAUGAAACUUCGGUCGAGUGAAGAGGGGGAAAGCGGCGGACGGGUGAGUAACGCGUAGGCAACCUGCCCCAUACAGAGGGAUAGCCUCGGGAAACCGGGAUUAAAACCUCAUAACACCAUGAGAUCACAUGAUUUGAUGGUCAAAGAUUUAUCGGUAUGGGAUGGGCCUGCGUCUGAUUAGCUGGUUGGUGGGGUAACGGCCUACCAAGGCGACGAUCAGUAGCCGACCUGAGAGGGUAAUCGGCCACAUUGGAACUGAGACACGGUCCAAACUCCUACGGGAGGCAGCAGUGGGGAAUAUUGCACAAUGGGCGAAAGCCUGAUGCAGCAACGCCGCGUGAGCGAAGAAGGCCUUUGGGUCGUAAAGCUCUGUCGAGAAGGAAGAUAAUGACGGUACUUCUCGAGGAAGCCCCGGCUAACUACGUGCCAGCAGCCGCGGUAAAACGUAG